rnacentral:rRNA from 1 species
UACGGAGGGUGCAAGCGUUAUCCGGAUUUACUGGGUUUAAAGGGUGCGCAGGCGGAUAUGUAAGUCAGUGGUGAAAUCUCUAGGCUUAACCUGGAAAUUGCCGUUGAUACUAUAUAUCUUGAAUGCUGUGGAGGUAAGCGGAAUAUGUCAUGUAGCGGUGAAAUGCUUAGAUAUGGCAUAGAACACCUAUUGCGAAGGCAGCUUACUACGCAGAUAUUGACGCUCAUGCACGAAAGCGUGGGGAUCAAACAGG